CGCCGCGUGGAGGAUGACGCCCCUUGGGGUGUAAACUCCUUUCGAUCGGGACGAUUAUGACGGUACCGGAUGAAGAAGCACCGGCUAACUCUGUGC
rnacentral:rRNA from 1 species